rnacentral:rRNA from 1 species
GACGAACGCUGGCGGCGUGCUUAACACAUGCAAGUCGAACGGAAAGGCCCUGCUUUUGUGGGGUGCUCGAGUGGCGAACGGGUGAGUAACACGUGAGUAACCUGCCCUUGACUUUGGGAUAACUUCGGGAAACUGGGGCUAAUACCGGAUAGGAGCUCCUGCUGCAUGGUGGGGGUUGGAAAGUUUCGGCGGUUGGGGAUGGACUCGCGGCUUAUCAGCUUGUUGGUGGGGUAGUGGCUUGCCAAGGCUUUGACGGGUAGCCGGCCUGAGAGGGUGACCGGCCACAUUGGGACUGAGAUACGGCCCAGACUCCUACGGGAGGCAGCAGUGGGGAAUAUUGCACAAUGGGCGGAAGCCUGAUGCAGCAACGCCGCGUGCGGGAUGACGGCCUUCGGGUUGUAAACCGCUUUCGCCUGUGACGAAGCGUGAGUGACGGUAAUGGGUAAAGAAGCACCGGCUAACUACGUG